rfam:Mumia flava strain MTSC 201 Contig69, whole genome shotgun sequence.
UUCGGUCCUCGGUAGUGGUCCGCGGAUGGUGACCCGGCUCAGGCCGGAUCGCACUGCGCGGACCUCGAUCGAAGACCGAC